rnacentral:tRNA from 1 species
CUCAGCUGGGAGAGCGCCUGCCUUGCACGCAGGAGGUCUGCGGUUCGAUCCCGCAUAGCUCCA